GGUUAUGGCUCAGUGGCAGAGUGCUUGCAUAGUGUGUGUGAGGCCCUGGGUUCAAUCCUCAGCACCA
rnacentral:tRNA from 1 species